CAUGGCUCAGGACGAACGCUGGCGGCGUGCCUAAUACAUGCAAGUCGAGCGGACUGGAGAGAGCUUGCUCUCAAAGGUCAGCGGCGGACGGGUGAGUAACACGUGGGCAAUCUGCCCGACAGACUGGGAUAACGCUUGGAAACGAGUGCUAAUACCAGAUAGGCUCUUGGAUCGCAUGAUCCGAGAGGGAAAGGAGCUGUCGCUCCACUGUCAGAUGGACCCGCGGCGCAUUAGCUAGUUGGUGAGGUAACGGCUCACCAAGGCGACGAUGCGUAGCCGACCUGAGAGGGUGACCGGCCACACUGGGACUGAGACACGGCCCAGACUCCUACGGGAGGCAGCAGUAGGGAAUCUUCCGCAAUGGGCGCAAGCCUGACGGAGCAACGCCGCGUGAGUGAUGAAGGCCUUCGGGUUGUAAAACUCUGUCUUCUGUGAAGAACAAGCCUGUGAGUGGAAUGCUCAGGCCCUGACGGUAACAGAGGAGGAAGCCCCGGCUAACUACGUGCCAGCAGCCGCGGUAAUACGUAGGGGGCAAGCGUUGUCCGGAAUCACUGGGCGUAAAGCGCGUGCAGGCGGCGAUCUGCGU
rnacentral:rRNA from 1 species